ACAGACGUGUUAUUGCUCUUUCCCGAUUCUGUGGGUGGUGGUGCAUGGCCGUUCUUAGUUGGUAGAGCCAUUUGUCUGGUUAAUU